GCGCGGCUACCAUGCAAGUCGAACGGUAGCACAGAGGAGCUUGCUCCUUGGGUGACGAGUGGCGGACGGGUGAGUAAUGUCUGGGAAACUGCCCGAUGGAGGGGGAUAACUACUGGAAACGGUAGCUAAUACCGCAUAACGUCGCAAGACCAAAGAGGGGGACCUUCGGGCCUCUUGCCAUCGGAUGUGCCCAGAUGGGAUUAGCUAGUAGGUGGGGUAACGGCUCACCUAGGCGACGAUCCCUAGCUGGUCUGAGAGGAUGACCAGCCACACUGGAACUGAGACACGGUCCAGACUCCUACGGGAGGCAGCAGUGGGGAAUAUUGCACAAUGGGCGCAAGCCUGAUGCAGCCAUGCCGCGUGUAUGAAGAAGGCCUUCGGGUUGUAAAGUACUUUCAGCGAGGAGGAAGGCGUUGUGGUUAAUAACCGCAGNGAUUGAC
rnacentral:rRNA from 1 species